GAUGAACGCUGGCGGCGCGCCUAACACAUGCAAGUCGAACGGCACCCCUCUCCGGAGGGAAGCGAGUGGCGAACGGCUGAGUAACACGUGGAGAACCUGCCCCCUCCCCCGGGAUAGCCGCCCGAAAGGACGGGUAAUACCGGAUACCCCGGGGUGCCGCAUGGCACCCCGGGUUAAAGCCCCGACGGGAGGGGAUGGCUCCGCGGCCCAUCAGGUAGACGGCGGGGGUGACGGCCCACCGUGCCGACAACGGGUAGCCGGGUUGAGAGGCCGACCGGCCAGAUUGGGACUGAGACACGGCCCAGACUCCUACGGGAGGCAGCAGUGGGGAAUCUUGCGCAAUGGGGGGAACCCUGACGCAGCGACGCCGCGUGCGGGACGGAGGCCUUCGGGUCGUAAACCGCUUUCAGCAGGGAAGAGUCAAGACUGUACCUGCAGAAGAAGCCCCGGCUAACUACGUGCCAGCAGCCGCGGUAAUACGUAGGGGGCGAGCGUUAUCCGGAUUCAUUGGGCGUAAAGCGCGCGUAGGCGGCCCGGCAGGCCGGGGGUCGAAGCGGGGGGCUCAACCCCCCGAAGCCCCCGGAACCUCCGCGGCUUGGGUCCGGUAGGGGAGGGUGGAACACCCGGUGUAGCGGUGGAAUGCGCAGAUAUCGGGUGGAACACCGGUGGCGAAGGCGGCCCUCUGGGCCGAGACCGACGCUGAGGCGCGAAAGCUGGGGGAGCGAACAGGAUUAGAUACCCUGGUAGUCCCAGCCGUAAACGAAUGGACGGUAGGUGUGGGGGGGCGAUCCCCCCGUGCCGCAGCCAACGCAUUAAGCGUCCCGCCUGGGGAGUACGGCCGCAAGGCUAAAACUCAAAAGAAUUGACGGGGGGCCGCACAAGCAGCGGAGCAUGUGGCUUAAUUUGAAGCAACGCGAAGAACCUUACCAGGGCGGGACAUAUGGGUGAAGCGGGGGAGACCCCGUGGCCGAGAGGAGCCCAUACAGGUGGUGCAUGGCUGUCGUCAGCUCGUGUCGUGAGAUGUUGGGUUAAGUCCCGCAACGAGCGCAACCCCCCCCGCGUGUUGCCAUCGGGUGAUGCCGGGAACCCACGCGGGACCGCCGCCGUCAAGGCGGAGGAGGGCGGGGAGGACGUCAAGUCAUCAUGCCCCAUAUGCCCUGGGGUGCACACGUGCUACAAUGGCCGGUACAGAGGGAUGCCACCCCGCGAGGGGGAGCGGAUCCCGGAAAGCCGGCCCCAGUUCGGAUUGGGGGGUGCAACCCGCCCCCACGAAGUCGGAGUUGCUAGUAAUCGCGGAUCAGCAUGCCGCGGUGAAAAAGUUCCCGGGCCUUGUAC
rnacentral:rRNA from 1 species